AUCAGCUACCUCAUACACGCUGCAGGGUGAGAAACUGCACGUUGGCAGCUGGGCCAGAGUAAUUUGACAGAGACAAGUAGGUUUGGAUAGGCAAGACCAGCAAGUAACCAUAAGAGAGUUUUGAAAAGCCACAUGAAGUGCUUGUGCCUCAGGUGGAGCUUUGCUGCUUGCAGACAAGGCCUUCUGGCACGGGCACCUCCAUCACCAGCUCCUGCCUGCUGUUCUGCACAGCACGGCUGCGUGACCCAGCACACCACCAGGCCCAGCAAACACAGAACCACCGUUAUCAAGAAGUGGCCAAUCUGGCUCCCAUUGUAGCCAGUUAGGGUAGCUGCAUAAAUUGGGAAGUCUCCUUCAUGUCCACCUCCACCAUGUCCUUGCUGUGCCCUUGUCCAGAGGAACUGAACCUCAAAGAGAACUGCUCAACCUUACAUCUGUCUAAGGUGCAGAAACCUACACAUGGGCCCGUAGAACAAUGUGCCUGAUGUUUCACCUGCUUUAAUUAAAAUGCAAACAUGAAUCAGUCAGGAUCUCUGUCUGGGCUCUGAUCCUGCAAUCUAUUAAAUCCACUCAUCUUCAAAAGCACAGCCAGAUUUUUAGCUGCUAUAAUAAAUAAUACACAGGGCCCA
rnacentral:lncRNA from 1 species